GUUUAUGUCGCCAGGAGCAAGCACAGGAUGAAACCCCCCUUCUUGUUUCACUAAAUUGCACAAAUUGAGGCCCUAAUCAAGACAAUUACUCUUGCAUGUUGGUAGAUUCUUGAUCUUCUAGGUCCAUUCAAGCAUAAGGAAUUAAGGAGGAAAGCAAAAGCCGUUCCGAGUCUCAAACGAAGAACGAUAAAGGUAAAGCGACUUGCUAAAUGACGCUACUUGGAUCGAACACGCCCAUGAUGCACGCUUCCGCAAAGAUAUUAGUUUGGGUCAAAACUUUUGUUAAAUAUACUUUUGGUAAAUGGGUCUUUUUGUAAGUAACAAACUUGUUCGUUGUUAGAUGUCAAACUCGUAGUCAAAGACAAUGUUAGUUGUUUAUGGAAUGUUGGGUUGUAAGUUAUUUAACAUCUCCUAGUUAGUCAUGUUAUGGUUAAA